UACGUAGGGGGCAAGCGUUGGUCCGGAUUUAUUGGGCGUAAAGCGCGUGUAGGUGGCCAUGGAGGUCCGCUGUGAAACUUGAGGCUCAACCUCAAGCUGUCGGUGGAAACCACAUGGCUAGAGUCCGGAAGAGGAGAGUGGAAUUCCUGGUGUAGCGGUGAAAUGCGCAGAUAUCAGGAAGAACACCGGUGGCGAAGGCGGGUCUCUGGGCAGUGAACUGACGCUGAGGAGCGAAAGCGUGGGGAGCGAACAGGA
rnacentral:rRNA from 1 species